rnacentral:rRNA from 1 species
AUUGAACGCUGGCGGCAGGCCUAACACAUGCAAGUCGAGCGAGCGGCGGACGGGUGAGUAAUGUAUGGGGAACUGCCUGAUGGCGGGGGAUAACUACUGGAAACGGUAGCUAAUACCGCAUACCAUCAGAUGACCCCAUAUGGGAUUAGCUAGUAGGUAAGGUAACGGCUAACCUAGGCGACGAUCCCUAGCUGGUCUGAGAGGAUGACCAGCCACACUGGGACUGAGACACGGCCCAGACUCCUACGGGAGGCAGCAGUGGGGAAUAUUGCACAAUGGGCGCAAGCCUGAUGCAGCCAUGCCGCGUGUAUGAAGAAGGCCUUCGGGUUGUAAAGCACUUUCAGUCGGGAGGCGUUACUGACAGAAGAAGCACCGGCUAACUCCGUGCCAGCAGCCGCGGUAAUUC